UACGGGGGGUGCAAGCGUUGUUCGGAAUUACUGGGCGUAAAGGGCUCGUAGGCGGCCAACUAAGUCAGACGUGAAAUCCCUCGGCUUAACCGGGGAACUGCGUCUGAUACUGGAUGGCUUGAGGUUGGGAGAGGGAUGCGGAAUUCCAGGUGUAGCGGUGAAAUGCGCAGAUAUCGGGAAGAACACCCGUGGCGAAGGCGGCUCUCUGGGACGGUACUGACGCUGAGACGCGAAAGCGUGGGGAGCGAACAGG
rnacentral:rRNA from 1 species